GACGAACGCUGGCGGCGUGCUUAACACAUGCAAGUCGUACGGUAAGGCCCUUUCGGGGGUACACGAGUGGCGAACGGGUGAGUAACACGUGAGUAACCUGCCCACAACUUUGGGAUAACGCUAGGAAACUCGUGCUAAUACUGGAUAUGUGCCCCUGCUGCAUGGUGGGGGUUGGAAAGCUCCGGCGGUUGUGGAUGGACUCGCGGCCUAUCAGCUUGUUGGUGGGGUAGUGGCCUACCAAGGCGGCGACGGGUAGCCGGCCUGAGAGGGUGACCGGCCACAUUGGGACUGAGAUACGGCCCAGACUCCUACGGGAGGCAGCAGGGGGGAAUAUUGCACAAUGGGCGCAAGCCUGAUGCAGCAACGCCGCGUGCAGGAUGACGGCCUUCGGGUUGUAAACCGCUUUCAGCAGGGACGAAGCUUUUUGUGACGGUACCUGCAGAAGAAGCACCGGCUAACUACGUG
rnacentral:rRNA from 1 species